AGCGGCAGGCUUAACACAUGCAAGGUCGAGGGGCAGCACGGGUAGCAAUACCUGGUGGCGACCGGCGCAAGGGUGCGUAACGCGUGAGCAACAUGCCCUAUACAGGGGGAUAAUCCAGGGAAACUUGGUCUAAUAUCCCCAUAGUAUUUAGAGGAGGCAUCUUCUAUAAAUUAAAGCUUCGGUGGUAUAGGAUUGGCUCGCGUGACAUUAGCUAGAUGGUGAGGUAACGGCUCACCAUGGCAAUGAUGUCUAGGGGUUCUGAGAGGAAGGCCCCCCACACUGGGACUGAGACACGGCCCAGACUCCUACGGGAGGCAGCAGUGAGGAAUAUUGGACAAUGGAUGGAAAUCUGAUCCAGCCAUGCCGCGUGCAGGAAGACAGCCCUAUGGGUUGUAAACUGCUUUUAUAUGGGAGCAAUAAGGUCUACGUGUAGACUGAUGAGAGUACCAUAUGAAUAAGCAUCGGCUAACUCCGUG
rnacentral:rRNA from 1 species